AUGCCUGGGUUAUGCCAUCUCCAACUUAUUGGAAACAAGAUGACUAAUAAUGGUUUGCUUGCUAUUCUUGAUGGUUGUCCUCAACUGGAAUCUCUUGACAUCCGUCAGUGUUUCAAUAUUAAUUUUAGAGGAAGUUUGGUAAAGAGAUGUAAAGAACAGAUCAAGUAUUUACGGCAUACAAAGAUUAUGCCUCUGGGAUCUCAACCAUAUAUUUAG